GGUGGUGCAUGGCCGUUCUUA
rnacentral:siRNA from 1 species